rnacentral:rRNA from 1 species
ACUCGGCAAAUUAGCCCCGUAACUUCGGAAGAAGGGGUGCCUGCAGCGAUGCAGGCCGCAGAGAAAUGGCUCAACCGACUGUUUAUCAAAAACACAGCACUCUGCAAAGACGCAAGUCGAAGUAUAGGGUGUGACACGUGACCAAUGCCGAAAGAUUAAGGCAAGGGGUUAGCCGCAAGGCGAAGCUCUAAACCCAAGUCCCGGUGAAUGUCGGCCGUAACUAUAACGGUCCUAAGGUAGCGAAAUUCCUUGUCGGGUAAGUUCCGACCUGCACGAAUCGUGAAACGAGUUGGGCACUGUCUCAACCAGGCGCUCAGUGAAAUUGUAGUGGCGGUGAAGAUGCCGCCUACCCGCAGAAGGACGGAGAGACCCUAUAGACCUUAACUGUAAGCUGUCAUUGUUUCUUCGGUUUUAAUGCUCAGAGUAAGUGGGAGACGCUGAAGACGCCCUUUAGGGGGCGUCCGAGUCAUCAAUGAGACACCACCCUUUGAAACUGGAGGAUCUAACCCUGAGCCGUGAAUCCGGCCAGAGGACCGUGUCAGCCGGUCAGUUUUACUGGGGCGGUAUCCUCCCAAAGAGUAACGGAGGAGCGCGAAGGUGGGCUCAGCCCGGUUGGCAACCGGGUGUCGAGUGCAUGGGCAUAAGCCCGCCUAACUGUGAGACCAACAAGUCGAGCAGAUGCGAAAGCAGGCCCAAGUGAUCCGGCGGUAGAAAGUGGAAUUGCCGUCGCUCAACGGAUAAAAGGUACCUUAGGGAUAACAGGCUGAUCACGCCCAAGAGUUCAUAUCGACGGCGUGGUUUGGCACCUCGAUGUCGGCUCGUCGCAUCCUGGGGCUGGAGAAGGUCCCAAGGGUCCGGCUGUUCGCCGGUUAAAGCGGCACGCGAGCUGGGUUCAGAACGUCGCGAGACAGUUCGGUCCUCUAUCCUCUGUGGGCGUUGGAAAAUUGAGGGGUUCAGACCUUAGUACGAGAGGACCGGGUCUGACGCACCACUGGUGCAUCGGUUGUACUGUCAAGUGCAUGGCCGAGUAGCUAAGUGCGGACGGGAUAAGCGCUGAAAGCAUCUAAGCGCCAAGCCCUUCCCAAGAUGAGUUUUCCCUACAGGUUCGUGGAAGACCACCACGUUGAUAGGUCGCAGGUGUAAGUGCAGCAAUGUAUUGAGCCGAGCGAUACUAAUUACCAAUUGACUUCAUCAU